GUCCAGCACUUUCAGGUGGUCUUGCUAGUGGUGGACAACGACGAUGACAUACACCAUAUACGAGCGCUGGUCUGCGUCUACUCGUCGGAGACCGGUGUUUGGGGUGAUGUCAUCUCCGCACCGCUUCUGCCCAAGUUCGACUUGAACAGCCUUUACACCAGGGUUUAUCGUCCCAAGGCGGCUGUGCUAGUUGAAGAUUCCCUUUACUGGAUCCUUGUUGGGAAUUUGGUUGGCAUUAUCAAGCCUGAUUCGGUGAAGCAGAGCAUAAUCGUGAUAUCGGCGCCGGUGGAUAUGUUUAAGGAAGGAAAACAUGAUUUCACAGUUUUGCGGACAGAGGGUGGUGGGCCUUGGUUUCCUCUUCCUGUGAAAGUGAGACUUCAGUGCCCAAUUAUGGAAGAGAAGACAAACAGUGAUGGUAUUGCUUCAUGGGUACUGGAAAGAACUAUCGAACUGAACAAACUAAUUCCC
rnacentral:rRNA from 1 species